rnacentral:rRNA from 1 species
AAUCAACGCUGGCGGCGUGCCUCAGACAUGCAAGUCGAACGAUUAAAGCUCUCUUCGGAGAGUGUAUAGAGUGGCGCACGGGUGAGUAACACGUAAGUAAUCUACCUUCGAGUGGGGAAUAACGUCCGGAAACGGACGCUAAUACCGCAUAAUGCAGCGGCAUCGCAAGAUGACAGUUGUUAAAGAUUUAUCGCUUGAAGAGGAGCUUGCGGCAGAUUAGCUAGUUGGUAAGGUAAUGGCUUACCAAGGCUACGAUCUGUAACCGGUCUAAGAGGACGGUCGGUCACACUGACACUGAAUAACGGGUCAGACUCCUACGGGAGGCAGCAGUCGGGAAUUUUGGGUCAAUGGGCGAAAGCCUGACCACGCAACGCCGCGUGAAGGAUGAAGUAUUUCGGGUAUGUAAACUUCGAAAGAAUAGGAAGAAUAAAUGACGGUACUAUUUAUAAGGUCCGGCUAA